AUGUCUAAGAUUAGCCAUGCAUGUCUCAGUAUAAGCCUCUAUACGGCGAAACUGCGAAUGGCUCAUUAAAACAGUUAUAGUUUAUUUGGUGGUCAGCAAUUACAUGGAUAACCGUGGUAAUUCUAGAGCUAAUACAUGCGCCCAAACCCGACUUCGUGGAAGGGUUGUGUUUAUUAGAUACAGAACCAACCCAGGCUCCGCCUGGCCUUGAGGUGAUUCAUAAUAACCGAACGAAUCGCAUGGCUAUGCCGGCGAUAGACCAUUCAAGUUUCUGACCUAUCAGCUAUCGUCGGUAGGGUAUUGGCCUACCGUGGCAAUGACGGGUAACGGAGAAUUAGGGUUCGAUUCCGGAGAGGGAGCCUGAGAAACGGCUACCACAUCUAAGGAAGGCAGCAGGCGCGCAAAUUACCCAAUCCUGACGCAGGGAGGUAGUGACAAGAAAUAACAAUACAGGGCAUACAUGUCUUGUAAUUGGAAUGAGUAAACUUUAAAUCACUUUA
rnacentral:rRNA from 1 species